rnacentral:rRNA from 1 species
GACGAACGCUGGCGGCGUGCUUAACACAUGCAAGUCGAACGGAAAGGCCCUGCUUGCAGGGUACUCGAGUGGCGAACGGGUGAGUAACACGUGGGUGAUCUGCCCUGCACUUCGGGAUAAGCCUGGGAAACUGGGUCUAAUACCGGAUAGGAGCCAUUUUUAGUGUGAUGGUUGGAAAGUUUUUUCGGUGUAGGAUGAGCUCGCGGCCUAUCAGCUUGUUGGUGGGGUAAUGGCCUACCAAGGCGGCGACGGGUAGCCGGCCUGAGGGGGUGGACGGCCACAUUGGGACUGAGAUACGGCCCAGACUCCUACGGGAGGCAGCAGUGGGGAAUAUUGCACAAUGGGCGCAAGCCUGAUGCAGCGAGGCCGCGUGGGGGAUGACGGCCUUCGGGUUGUAAACUCCUUUCGCUAGGGACGAAGCUUUUUGUGACGGUACCUAGAUAAGAAGCACCGGCUAACUACGUG